rnacentral:lncRNA from 1 species
UGGACAUGCCACACACCCCAUUGCUACAUAGGGCUAUAUAGCAUAAACAUUUGAGUCUUCAUUGCACAAUGUCAACCUCUUCCAUAAACGGGUGGUGCCUCUCUUCCAUCUCCCCAGCCAAAACCUCUCUCAGGAAGGCCACAUUACGCCCUUCCGUCUUCGCAACCCUUAACACUCCUUCUUCUCCUUCCUCUUCAUCUUCCUUCCCCUCUCUCAUUCAAGACAGGCCUGUUUUUGCUGCCCCUGCCCCCAUCAUCACCCCAACUGUGGUAUAUAUACCAAACACUACACUUUGAUCAUUCAUGCAUUCAAAUUACACAUUUGUUGUUGAGUUUAAUUUUUAUGCAUAGCUGGUGUAAACGUUUUUUUACCCUAUUAACCGAUGAAACAUCAUUGUCGGUAUGAAUUUUAGCAUAUAUAGUUAUUGUAAAACUAACAAACUUAUCAUAUAUAACAUUUUGUCCAUUGUUAGUACAUGCAUUAUUUACUCUUUGUUGUUUUGUUUUGUGUUUCAAAUUUUAAGGGACACAAAAUUCUCAUAAACUUUGCACUUUUGGAUCACAAUAUGUGUUUGAGUUGUCACCAUGACUUAGCUAGUUGAUCAUGUGCUUAAUAAUCUAACAAGGUCCACGUAUAAGGUUGCUACUUGUGUGUCGGCAGCCAGCACCAUACAAUUAACAAAUUAUUUAUAUUAGGAAGAAAAUUCAUACCGAAAAUAAAAACUAUAUAUAUAUAUAUAACGUCAAAUAGCGUUGUAUGGGGGAGGUGUGUCAGUGCGAGGAUUCUAAGGCGAUUAAAGAAGGAAAUCCAAACUACUAUAGAAGAAAAAGUCCAUUCAAAAUCAGGUUUGCCAACCAAAUAUAGCAACUAAUUAAUCCUCGGACAGUGUAAAAUCAAAUUUCCACUUUUCCGAGGUUUGACACUAUUUAUUUUCAUAAUAAUUGAAUUCUGAAUAUUAUUUUCCUUUAGUCCUUCCCCACUCAACAGAAUUUUAUCAUAGUUACUAACUUAUGCUAAAGUUUCAUGUUUAAUUAGGAGAAAUUUAUAAUUAGAAAAUUGCUUUUCGUUUCUCAUUUCAUUUUCUAGUCACUUGUUACCAGUUUUUUUUAUAAAAAAACUGACACGUAUUUUUCUUUUCUUUUUGGAGAGAGAGGAUAUGGCAAAG